GACGAACGCUGGCGGCAUGCUUAACACAUGCAAGUCGAACGGAAAGUCCCUGCUUUUGUGGGGUGCUCGAGUGGCGAACGGGUAAGUAACACGUGAGUACCCUGCACUUGACUUUGGGGUAUCUUAAUGCAACUGGGGCUAAUCCGGCAUAGGAGCUCUUGCUGCAUGAUGGGCGUGGGAUGGUUUCGGCGGUUGGGGAUGGAAUGGCGUAUUAUGAGCUUGUUGGUGGGGUAGUGGCUUACCAUGGCUUUGAAGGGUGGCAGGCCUGAGCGGGUAACCGGCCACAUUGCGACUGAGAUGCGGCCCAGACUCCUACGGGAGGCAGCAGAGGGGAAUAUUGUACAAUGGGCGGAAGCCUGAUGCAGCAACGCCGCGUGCGGGAUGACGGCCUUCGGGUUGUAAACCGCUUUCGCCUGUGACGAAGCGUGAGUGACGGUAAUGGGUAAAGAAGCACCGGCUAACUACGUG
rnacentral:rRNA from 1 species